rnacentral:rRNA from 1 species
UCUGAUUAGCUAGUUGGUGGGGUAAAGGCUUACCAAGGCGACGAUCAGUAGCUGGUCUGAGAGGACGAUCAGCCACACUGGGACUGAGACACGGCCCAGACUCCUACGGGAGGCAGCAGUGGGGAAUUUUCCGCAAUGGGCGAAAGCCUGACGGAGCAAUACCGCGUGAGGGAGGAAGGCUCUUGGGUUGUAAACCUCUUUUCUCAGGGAAGAAGCUCUGACGGUACCUGAGGAAUCAGCAUCGGCUAACUCCGUGCCAGCAGCCGCGGUAAUACGGAGGAUGCAAGCGUUAUCCGGAAUGAUUGGGCGUAAAGCGCCUGCAGGUGGCUUUACAAGUCUGCUGUCAAAGACUGAGGCUUAACUUCGGAGAGGCAGUGGAAACUGAAAAGCUAGAGUGCGGUAGGGGUAGAGGGAAUUCCCGGUGUAGCGGUGAAAUGCGUAGAGAUCGGGAAGAACACCAGUGGCGAAAGCGCUCUGCUGGACCGCAACUGACACUCAUGGACGAAAGCUAGGGGAGCGAAUGGGAUUAGAUACCCCAGUAGUCCUAGCCGU